CCUACGGGGAGCAGCAGUGAGGAAUAUUGGUCAAUGGGCGGGAGCCUGAACCAGCCAAGCCGCGUGAGGGAAGAAGGUACAGCGUAUCGUAAACCUCUUUUGUCAGGGAACAAAGGCGGGGACUAGUCCCCGGAUGAGGGUACCUGAAGAAAAAGCAUCGGCUAACUCCGUGCCAGCAGCCGCGGUAAUACGGAGGAUGCGAGCGUUAUCCGGAUUUAUUGGGUUUAAAGGGUGCGCAGGCGGCCUGUUAAGUCAGCGGGAAAAGCCCGGGGCUCAACCCCGGCGAGCCGUUGAAACUGGCGGGCUGGAGUUGGAGAGAAGUACGCGGAAUGCGCGGUGUAGCGGUGAAAUGCUUAGAUAGCGCGCAGAACCCCGAUUGCGAAGGCAGCGUACCGGCUCCACACUGACGCUGAGGCACGAAAGCGUGGGUAUCGAACAGGAUUAGAUACCCCAGUAGUC
rnacentral:rRNA from 1 species